rnacentral:rRNA from 1 species
CGCGUGUUAUUUCUAUAUUUUACGGUAUCUACCCGAACCCUUUUCGAUUUCGAUUAUUUAAAGUAACACCGUAAAAAGCCAUAUGUACUUUUUUUAGGGAGACAUGGCUUGUUUAACCUUU